rnacentral:tRNA from 1 species
GAGGGAAGAAACAUAGUAGGAUAUGUGGCUGGCUUGAAACUAGUUAUAGGUGGUUCGAUUCCCCCCUUCCUUG